UUGUGCUUUCAGCAUAGGGCAGAGUUGUCUAACUCAUCCACUCCUUUCAGAGAGGAGAGAGCAAGCGCGCAUUUAUUCUUGAGGAUAUGAAACAAAGGAUGAUGAAACAAAAUGGAAUGAGAUGCAGGGAAACUAUUUAAAUGCGGGGUGGGGAGACGGAGCCACAACCAAAACCAGCUUCCGAGACCUGAAACCAGAAGGUGAGCCUCCUCAUGGCACCUUCCGCCCCUGCGUCCAGACGUCCUCCUGAGAAAGGACAGCCCACUUGCUGGCAGGGGCUCGUCGGGAACUACAGCUCCCAGCAGACACCGAGAGGGGACGCUGUGCCCCUAGGGCCCGUUCCAGAUUCCCAAAUAUGGAGAAGGACUGGGUUGGGGAAGAGGAACCGAAUGUUCCCCCUUGAGAGAGGGAGAGAGGGGGAGGAUGAGGUAAGUUUGGAAUAUUUAACUCUAUCACCUAAACGUCUGCCUGGGCUUUGAAAAGCAGCAGCCACAGUCAUGGCCUCAGUAAAUCUUUCUAGAAGAGCUCACCUUGAAAUCAGGCAGUUAUCUCAGCAGAGCCCUGUUUUCUCCUAAGAUUAGGUGUGUGCUGUUCUAGGAGGGCAGAUACCCUUUCUCUGAGUCCGACCAGCUCAGAAAGUGAUGUUGGCAGUGGCGGGAAAGGAAUCCAAGUGGAGGACAGCUCUGCUGCCAUGGGAGCGACAUUCCAGGGGCUGGGCUGGCAGCCGAGCCCAGGAUGAGCGGGGAGGGCAAGGGUUACUCUUUUCCUGCUGUGGAGGCUGCUAAGCCCGCCUGGUAGGAAAGGACUCUUUCCCGUUCUGUCUUCAUUGUGUCAACAAACAUUUCUAAAAGCACAUCCACUCGAGGUCCUGGGCUGGAUGCUGGGCAGGAUACGCAUCACCGAGACCAGAUCUCUGUCCUCAGGACGCUUUCUACAGGGGAGGACAGGCACACGAGGAAACAAUGCGAGGCGGUGUGUUUUUUGUUUGUUUGUUUUUUAUUUUUGGCUGUGUUGGGUCUUCAUUGCUGUGCGCGGGCUUUCCCUAGUUGCAGCGAGCGAGGGCUACUCUUCGUUGCGGUACGCGGUCUUCUCAUUGUGGUGGCUUGCUGUGGAGCACGGGCUCUAGGUGCGCGGACUUCAGUAGUUGUGGCACGUGGGCUCAGUAGUUGUGGCGCACGGGCUUAGUUGCUCUGUGGCAUGUGGGAUCUUCCUGGACCAGGGCUCGAAGCCGUGUCCCCUGCACUGGCAGGUGGAUUCUUAACCACUGCACCAUCAGGGAAGUCCCAGGUGGCGUGUUAUUUACACUGUUCAUCUAGCGUUGUUACCCAUCACCCACCAUGUGCCAGCCGCUUGGAAUCCGAUGGGAAAGACAGAAAAAGCAAAGCUUCUGCUCUCGUAGAUUUCCGUUCUGGUAGCCCUGGAUGUCGGGGGGACGAGUCCUCCAAGCAGCGGGAACAGCAGGUGCAGGGCCUUGAGAUGGACAUGAACUUGGUGAGUCUGAGAGUGACCAGUGGGGCUGAGGGGCCGGAUGAGGGUAAGAGCAGGAAGAAACAAGUAAGAGACCUGGGCCGGGUCGAGUCAUGCCUUCAGAGCUGUCUAAGGAUGAGAUGCGUGCAUUUCAUUCCAAUCCUAACAGAAGCCGUUGUUUCUGGGCAGUGGUUUGACAUCUGAGGUACAGUGCCAGACUUCCAAAGGAGUUUGGAGUGGCAAGGAGAGGUGUCCCUGAGCUGAGUGGGCAGGGAAGGGGAGCAGAGUGGGGAGACGAGCGUCACGGGGCAAACAGGAAGAUCUCCAGGAGCCAGGAUGGUACCUGGCGGGUUCCGAUCAGCAAUCUGCCGCAGCUGUGGUCGUGUGAGGGUAGCGGGUGGUGCGGCCGGAGGGGAGGAGAUUUACAGUCUCCACGUCAGAAGGCUCUGGAGCACAGUAAUGUGGACGCUAUUCUCAGGCUUCCGUGUCCAUUUGAGGACCUGGUCUCCUCCAGGCGCCGACAUCUGCCCCUGAAAGACUUGAUGCUAUGAAGGCUUUCGAGUCCCACGUUGAAAUUGAGGUGACUCCGAAGAGCACCGUUUACAUUGUGAAAGGCGCCCCAUCGAAUGACACAAGCCGCAGGCGGAAGGUUCCCUCGGGGCCGUGCACAGCGGAGGUGCUGGUCCGUGUUCUGGGGGACGGAGCGCCGAGUAGCCGCCGGGUGACUCGCAGUGCUUAGCGGCUUCCUUCACCACUAAGACGGAAGCCCCGCGAGCCGGCUGCAGAGCAGCAAGGGGAACGGGGUGCAGAGAACCGUGAGACAGGCGGAGGGUAAGAUGGAAAAGAGAGGGAUUGAAAGAGGAGGCCGGGGAGAGGCACUAAGAGGGGAGUAAAGGGUGGUGGGGGGUGGCUGGGCUCUCGGGAGCGCUGCCCCGGGUCUAGAAUCCCUCUCCUCCUGUGGUUGUCUCGGUGCCACUGGCCUGUGGGCCUCAGGACGGCGGCUGGCUGCCCAGCCGAGCCACACUCUGCUCCGGGGUCUGUCUCAUUAAGACCCCGCCCCUGAGACAGUCAGCCUGACCGCCAGUUCCUGGACAGCAGGACAAGCUGUACACCUACCUUAAGCGCCUCACCAGGGGUCUCGUCCUAAGUGUUCCCUUUCUACCUGAAUUUGGGGGAACCAUGGUGCUGUCCCAAUAGGUCAAAGCAGAAUAAACUCAAAGUGAAGGCCAUGCCCGGCCAUGCCCUCUUCUUCCCCAACCUCAGCAGGCAAACGGAAGGGCACUUGCCCGAGCAGGGGGCGGCAGGCUGCUGUGCGUGCGGCGGCUUCGGGGUGGGGGGGGGGCGGUCAUUUCACGUUCCCGGCAAUAGGAAGUGGCGGUCACACCAAGGCUCCGCCACCCACCAUGUGCCAGCCGCUUGGAAUCCGAUGGGAAAGACAGAAAUUUGACAGCAAAGCUGUCAGACACGGGAGGCCCAGCAGAGCCCACCGCGAGCCCAGACUCCAGCGGCGUCUCCUCCCCAGCCUCUCACGGGCCUCCAGCCCCCUGGUCGCUGCACGUGAGCAGGGCUGCCCCUUACUUCCGGCUGCACACCCACUCAGGAACAGGGGAGCAGCCAGACCUCAGCGUGGCGGUCUCCAUGUGCGUGUGCGGCAGGAAGCCUCGCCCCCCUAAGCUGCCCUGCGCCGCACCACGGGCCCGCUGCUCCCGAACCUGGGCUCUAGUACGGGCUGCAUACUUGGCGGGGGUCCGAGGCCCCCGGCGCACUGGGCCCCCAUCACCUCUGCAGGCAGUGGCCCGCAUCACCUCCGGGACCCGCCCCGCCUGCCUUCCCAGCCCUGCUCUCACGCCCAGCUCCAGGCCGCUCUCCUGACCCACCCUGCUCUCCCCAGACCUGGGCCUCUGAGCGGCUUACUCCCUCCUCUUGGGGUCCCCUUCUGGCUUCCUGGACAGGCUCACCCCCAGAGUUCAGCACAGUUAUCACCUCCUCUGGGAAGCUUCUCCUUGACCCCCCCCUUCUCAGGUAGAUUCAGUGCCUCCCUGCCUGUGUUCUUGUAGGGCCUGUACUUGCCUGUAUUGUAGCGGAUGAGCCAUCUGUUCACUUCAGAGAAGCCCCCUGUGAACAGCUAACUCCUUUAGGAUAGAAAGCUGUGUAUUUUACUUUUGUAUUUCCAACACCAAACCCAGUGAAGUGGUCGUGAAUGUUUGUUGAAUGAGUGAGUAGCCAGGAUCCCUUGGCCUAAUGAGUACCAAGGUCUCCUCCAGUGAGGUCUGAUAAAGAAGUAAGGCAGGACCUGGGUUUUCUGGGCCAAGUAACACUUCCCCUCCUGGAACCCUGGCUUCGCUGGCGCUCUCAGGGCCCCCUCUGCCUUCCCCGCUCCCACCCAGUCGUCACCCCCGCGUCGUGCCACCCUCUGCCCUGAGGUUCCCCUUCAGGACUUGUUUGGCCACGAAAAUACUAGUGCCUUUCCGCAUUACCAAGAAGAGGGCACCUGUGUCCAUGGUUGUCAGCUUUCCUUUCCCCCUCCUCCUAGAUCAGGAGCAUGUUGGCUGCUGGUACCUGUCCCAGACUGUGUCAGAUGGGGCCCCGUCCCCAUCCAUCCCAGCUCCCCACUGAAGCAGGGAGGGGCCACGAAACCUCAGCAACGGUCUAGAGGUGAGAAGUGAACUCAGUAUGAAAAAUAAGAUUUGUGCAAGCAAAGCACAGAGGUUGAGAUGAUCAGCAUUUAAGGGGAGGGGAGGCCUGGUGGGAUGCGGCUGGUCCUGUCCCGGAGAGCUCUUGCAGGCAGGUUGGGGAGCUGGGCUGGAAGGUCAAGGAAGUUAGGUGUCCACAGCAAGUGCUCCUGACGUGCUCAAGGUUUUAAUAGAUUUCCACCGCGGGGUGUCUGCUUGGGGUCAGGGUUGGGGGUGAGUGCGAGACCCCGGGAAGUCCUUCCUGCUCUGGAAUUCCAUGCUCAGGGAUGGCUGUGGACUUCCGGGGACCCGAGUUCCAUUCAUUGGAGCUAUUUUUGGUCUGCAGUAAGUUAGCCAGGCCGCGGGGCUGGGAAAGCGCUACCGCUGAAGGAGGUGAUUCACUGGGACAGGAUGCCCUGAGGCCACGUUGUGAGCCCCUGGGAUCCCAGAACAAGGGUCUCUAGUGUUUGGGACGCCCUGGGUUCAGGGGGUAAUCUCUGCAGGGCCUUCAGCAGAGAGAGGGCAGGGAGGGCCCUCAGAUGAAACGGCAGAGGCUUUUGAACUCCUUCUCCCAUACCUGACGUCAGCCCAUGAGCCAGGUUUAACUGCACAAACUAUCCCGCUGGGUGCUUAUUAGUAUCCCAUUUGACUGAGGCUCAGAAAGGUUAAGAAACUUGCCCGAGUUUACCAGGUAGCAAAUGCCAGAGCCAAAAUUCUAACCCAUAAAUCUGACAGCAAAGCAACUGCACCACAGCACUCCAUGCUUGAGGGCCCCUCCCAGAGGGACGGAGCCAGUGUGUCCCGGGGAGGGAGGGGGAUGCAUGGGAGAGGACUGAGCUCUCGGCGCCCAAGGGGCACACUGCGGCAUCCUGCGUUGUCCUUUCCUCCAACCCUUUCAUUCCAGCAGGGCCAGCGCUCAAAGGCUCUGCAGGAGAAGAGUUUGGACCUGAAGAGGUGUCCUGAGGUGGUGGACAGAGCUCUCGUCUGGGCAGGAGUGUCCUGGUUCUUUUUCUGGUUAAUGCAGGACAAGCUACUUACCCUCUGAUCCUCAGUUCCUUUAUCAAGGAAAGGCAGUGGGAUGGGAUAGAGGAAUUAGGAUGAGUAAAUGCCCACUGUACUGACCUCACUAAGUUACAAAGACAAAACGGAACCCUGAAUAAAUAAGUCACCAAAUAUAGUCAUGUUAUAAAAAUCCUAAGUUCUUAUCUAGUUGACUCUCCAGCUCAAAAUGUUUUGUAGAUAUAUUUUGGCGCUCAAAUGGCUCAGCCCAAGUCGUGAGGCGUCCUAGGGUUCUCUGUGAGUCUCUCUGGCCAAAUCACCCAAGGUCAUCAUCAAACCCUUGACUGGUUCCACUCUUGAGCAGCUGUUUACUUCUGACAUGAACAGCCUCAAUUCCACUUUCUGAAAAGUCAAAGAGCCCGGCUCUUUCUCCCCACUGGAACUUUGCAGAGUCCACGUCCAUAACUCGGAGUCCUUGGUCUGGUCACCCCCUUCAGCCCACGUCCAAAAGAGGCCACGGCUUGUCCACAUUGUAUCUUCACAGCUAACUCAGUGCACGGCACACAGCGGUGCUCGGCGAACUUUGAUGCAUACGUGAACUUUCCCCUGAUUUCUCCCCCCCAUCCCCACUGAUGUUUUCAUUGCCAUGGAGAUGGGGAUAUUUCUGACCUCAUCCUUUGGGAGUACCACAGAGAUUAGCUAAUUAAUAAGGUGGGGAGGGCGAAGCUCUCCUGGCACUUAGUGUUUAACCGAAAUGGCUGGGAGACAGUGGUGAAACCCCAGGGCCUUCUCAGAGCAUCGUGAAGACACACAGUGGGAGCCCUGACCCUUGAUGUUCGUUGCUCUGGGACCCUCCUCUCUUCUCUUGGCAGGUGUUCCCCCAGCGUCCAUCCUGGAGGCUGACCCCGCUACCAACUCCCCUGCACAGUGCCCCUCCCUCAGGGGAUCCUUCCUGCAGCUGUGCAACAGCUGGAGCCUUUGGGAGCCCCGCAGGGUCCAGAGGCCACAGUCACCUGCUGCCAAAGUCACCCCCCCGCACCCCCCACUUUCCCGUUUCCCAGAUCAGGUGGGCGGGGGUGGGGGACACGGGUCCAAGGGUAUGAGGAAGGGCAGUUUACUUGGCUUUCCCCCGUGAUAGAAAAGUGGAUUGGAAUGGCCACUGGCAGUGAAUAAACCAGAGCAAAAGACCCAUGCCAGCUGGUGACCACUGGAAAAAAGCAGCAAAUUCAUGAAUUACCCUAUUUACACCAGAAAUAAACUAAUAGUUUGGACCUUUGCUUGAUAGGUUGUGCUGGAAUUAUAGGCCGUUCAUGAAGACACAUGGGUGAAGCUGGUUUCCACCCCUCCUUACUCAUUGACGGCUUUGGCACCAAACCCUAAUGUUCCACUCCACCAAGCCUUGCUGGCAUCCUGGGUAAUCAGUGUCAGACAGACCAACCGUUUACAAACUGGGAAUCGCAACCCAUUAGUGUGUCAGGAAACUGAUCUGGAGGAUUGUGACUAGAUUCUUUUUUUUUUUUUAAGAAACAGUAUAGAAAUAAAAUAUCAGAGUACUUCACAUGUAGGAAGGGUAGUUUGGGGGUAAAAUGUUUAUUUCAAAGACAUGUAUGUUAUUAUAUGAUAACAUAUACUAAUAACAUAUUAUUUCAGUAACAUAAUACAUGUGUACUAGGUCAUGACAUCGAAUACACUUUUUAUUAUGGACCAUAGUCAGAAGUUUAAAAGGGAUAAGAGUAUGUAUAAAGGAAUACUAUUCAGCCUUAAAAGGAAAGGAAAGUCUCACACAGGCUACACUGUGGAUGAACCUCGAGGACAUUGUGCUCAGGGAAAUAAGUGAGUGGCGAAAGGACAGAUGCUGUGAGACCCCAUUUAUAAGAGGAGCUUAAAUAGUCACAUUCAUAGAGACAGAACGGACAGAGGUGGUUGCCAGGGUCCAGAUGGGGGGCAGGGAGUGGGGAGUUCGUGUUCAGCGGGAACAGAGUUUCAGUGUUUUGUUUUUUGUUUUGUUUUAUUUAUUUAUUUGGCUGUGCCGGGUCUUAGUUGUAGCAGGCGGGAUCUUAGUUCCCUGACCAGAGUUAGAAGCCGGGCCCCCUGCAUUGGGAGCGCAGAGCCUUAGCCACUGGACCACCAGGGAAGUCCCCAGAGUUUCACUUUUGACGAUGACACAUCCCAUGGACGCCGCCAGCCGUGGUGGUAGCACAACACAGGGGAAUGUGCUGGCACGCGAUACACUCAUUGCUCUCAGUACACUUCCAGUGAUCAUGAGGGUAGAUUUUAUGUUUUGUGUGUUUCACCACAGUUUUUUAAGAAGCUGCAGGGGAAGCCUCCUGGGUCCUCACUGUCAGUGACAUCACCCCCACUCACUCCCAGCUCCCUUUCUCCAGGGCCGUCCCCAGGAACCGUUCACCGCCCACCCGCUGACCUAGGCCUCCUGCCUUUCCUGCUUCCUCCCCUUCUGAAACCCGCUGUGCCCGCGCCCCCAGCUCACAGCAUCAUGUAAGCCCCUGGUCACCCAGCUCUUCUGGUCGGGCCACCUUCACUCCUUCCCGGUCUUCGUGAGGGCCCUGCCCUCCACUCAUCCCCCGGAACUGCACCAAGAGUGAGGUGUCUGCAUUUCAGUCUGAUCUUCACGCUUCCCCACUUGAACCCCCAAUGGCUCUCUGUUGCUCUGAGGGAAGCCGUUGGCCGGGCAGAGAAGCCAGCUGGACGUCGCUCCUGGCUAACCUGCACACCGCCCGCCCAUCCUCCUUUAACUGUACUUGCAGUUCCCCGAGUUCGCCCAGCUUUCCUUUGCUUCUGAGUCUUGGCCUGGGGUCUUCCCCACCUCACUUGUUCUGUACACGCCCAAGUCCUAUCACUCGAGCCUGGGUUGGCACCCAGCCCCUCUGAGAAGUUUCCCUCUGCCCUCGUAAGGCCAGAUCUGGGGCCCUUGAGUGAGUGAGGUCGGAUCAGAGCACUUAUUGUGCGGCAUAGCAGUUCCUUGUGUGAGUCUCCUCUCCUGACUGUCCUCUGUGCCCUCCUGAGGCCGGCGCUGCACCCGAUCCCUCCCUGCGUCCCUGGGCCUGCCACGCUGACUGCCCCACGGUGGACACUCUCUGAGGGGUGAGUGGGUAGGCACAGGAGGAUGUUCGAAUGUAUGGAUUUUCACAGGUUUUGAAAUUCAAAUCUGGGAAUCAGUUUUGGUCAACACUUUCAGCUGGAAAUACCUUUGAUCAAGGUCUAAAGAAUGAUUUAUCCAAAUUAGUAACAGUUGCUAUAUUUGUGUAACAUUGAACAUCCUAUAGAACACUGUCAUUUCUUUUUCUUAUUUGACACAAUAACUUAAGUAAGAAGGAAGGCCUUUGUCAUCACACAUGGCACGUGAGGAAGCUGUGGGUUGUCCAAGGUCAGCAAGUUAGUCAAUGGCAAAGGCAGGACAAGGGCUUACAUCCCUCCCACUCACUUUACCAUGAUCCCUUUAACUUUCAGAAAUGAAAAGAAUCAGAGUAAUUAGUCCUAAAAUCAGGACGUUUCAGAGAACAGGGAGUAUAUAUUUUCUGGCCUUUAUAGGGUCCUACUAAGGUCCCAGUUCACAGGUCCUUAGUAAAUAUGAACUAGCUCCACUCUGGCAAAACCAUCCCUGCUGUGCCUUGCUUCUUCUACAUUUUCCAGAAAAAGAAACAAAACCAAGCCCCCUAAGGACUGCUGUCCAACAACGUACUGGGAUUUUUUCCUUGUAUUCGCUCUACAUCUCUGUGUUGCAAAAUCAAGCCCAGUUUCUUUUAUUUGAUUCUCAGCAGUGAGAAUAUUAUUUGUACCCCAUCUGCAUCCAAAAAGUUAGAAAAAAGAAAAGAGUUUAUCACUCAUCCCCAUAAAAUAACCUCUUCCUCUGCCCUUCCUAGUCCAAGGUAAACAGUUCUAACUGCAUUUGGCAAAGGAUCUAUUUUCCAGUCACUUUAUUUUUUUCUUAUACGGACACUACCAAUUGUUCCCAGUCUCUUUUUUACUUUUAAAGCCAACACUGGACAUCGGUCACUAGUAAGAUCUGGUUAAAGCCAAGAAUAGUGAGAGGAUGACUUCAAGGACAUUGGGCCACUUUAGAGCAUCUCAGGCACACAAAUCCAGCUGCUGUGCGCACAGGGCAAGUACAGAAAGAUCAACCAAGGCGGCAGAAAGCCCUCCCUCCUCCUGCACAGGCACCACGGCCGCUCUCCCCUCUGUCUAGGUCAGUUAAGUACUGAUAACUGUCUUUUGCAAAGGAAAAGUGACCAAAGCCUGAAGCUCUGAUUUCAGGGACAUUGAGAAGGUCCUGGUCUAUGUAAUCACAAGUCCUGGAGUUUUCAGAAUUAUCCCGACUUCAGAAACAACAUUAAAUGACCCUAGAAGUUGCAACAUUUCUAUUUCUGAAUUAUACCUAAGAAGAAGCUUCUUACAUCUAAAAUCAAUUAUAAAAAAGAUCUUUUGGUGGACAAUGUGUCCGAAUUUUUUUUUUUUUUUUUUUUUUUUUUUUUUUGCGGUACGCGGGCCUCUCGCUGUUGUGGCCUCUCCCGUUGCGGAGCACAGGCUCCGGACGCGCAGGCUCAGCGACCAUGGCUCACGGGCCCAGCCGCUCCGCGGCAUGUGGGAUCUUCCCGGACUGGGGCACGAACCUGCGUCCCCUGCAUCGGCAGGCGGACUUUUAACCACUGCACCACCAGGGAAGCCCAAUGUCCGAAUUUUUUAUGUGAAAAGAUAGUCAAUAAAUCCAAGUUUCUCACAAAGCAGCAUCGUCCUGCUCGCCCCAGCCUACAACUCCACGACUAGAGCUUCAUUCCUUUUUACUGUAAGGCGUUGCCAGGGCUAUUAGUGGGCAAAUAUCCCCAUGAGAGAUGCUAUUUUAUAAACUUUUAUCAGACAUAACUUAGAGGGAAUGUGUCUUAGAUUCUUUGCUGAAAGCAAAGUUUUGAUCAGGAGAGAGGAAGGCAAGAGCUAAGAUUAAGGUGAUGUUGUUCAACCAUUUUGUUAUUAUCACAUCUUAAAGAGUGUUUUUUAGUAUCUUUUUUCUGAUUGACACUCCCCCAAAGAAAUUUUAAUACUAUAGAUACACUGUAUAUCUGUUUGUGUGUGGUGUGAAUAUCAGUGCUUUAUACAUAAAAAUACUAAGGUGUUUUUCAGACCCUAACCUGAGAACCAGUCCCCCUGCUUGGGGGCAACAGCGCCCGUGAGCAUGCGUCUGGAGAAGCCACCACCCACAAGGGAAACACGAGUUUGGCUAAGAAGUUGCGGCACCUGAGCCAAGCUCCUUGGGCAGAGCUGCUUGGCCGGUCCGACCAUGCUGCCCCCUGCAUCCCAGACUGCAGGGCCAGGAUUCAGCCCGCGCAGCCUCCCUGGCUCCCAGGGUCUCGUUCUUCCAGCCCUGACAGGACCCAGGGUAACAGCCCCUGAGCAGGACAGAAUGUUGCUGGGCAUGUAGAUUCCCAGGCGACAUGGGUUCACUACGGACGCAGAGGUGUUAGUUCACAGGGCUGCAGGGAUGGGCUGCACUCUCCACCCUGUGGCGGCUGAAGGGAGGGCCUGGCACCAUGGAACACGUGACUGGCAGAAAGGGGGAAGGAGUACCAAGGCCCCCUCCCUGGAGGCAACAAGACACUGCUAAGAAAAACCAUCGCCAAGUGCUCACCAGAGCCAAUGGUGUCUUUUUUUUUUUUUUAAUUCUAGUUACUGCCUUGGUAACUGGAAAUUCCAAACUGUCUGAUUUUAAAAGAGCCCGAAAGAUGAAAGAUGAGAAGAAAAACAGAGGAAUUAGAAAUCUGAGGCAGCAAAGAGCAGCAGAUAAAAAGUUGCCCCCCGACAGAUGCAGAUCUGGACAAAGAGAAAGUAAACAAGAUAACCCCAGCUAGGGUUGUCCAAGGAAACAAGAAAGGUUUCUAUAAAUAUAACCAGAAAAAAAAUAUUUGUCUUAGCUGAUGAGAUCACCACACAUGGCUCAUGAUAGGGAUCUUUUGUUGCUCCCUUAAUUGAAGAUUGGAGGAGAACAAAACUGAGGCAGAACUCAGACUACUGGCCACAAGGCCUGGGUUCCAGCAAGCAGGCUCAGUUUUAAUUAAAUGCAGCUGGAGUCAUUAAGACGUGAUGCCAUCGAUCUGGACUGUGGCCUGUAUUUUCACUGACGUGCUGGCCCCGACGCCCAGCAACAAACAGGCUGGCGGCUUCUCCACACCCUGCAAAUGGGGUCAAACACAAGAGGAAGCAUGUGGCCCUGGACGCAGAUCUAGGGGCGAGAGAGGCUUCCCAGGGACCCCUUCGUCUCUGCAGGGGUCACUGUGUGGGACCAGAGCAGGAGGGGAGCUGGAAUCCCUCCAGAUGUCCACCCCGCUAGGGGCCAAGCCGCAUUCCAGGCUGGGACUGUGGCAGUGAACGGGGCAGGUCCCCACCUCGAGGAACUUCCACUUGGAGCAGGGGUGGGAAAUGGGGGCAGCGGGAGACAGACAACACAGUGAUUAUGCCAGGUAAUUUCCCAUGCUGACAGGUGCUUGGGGACAGAACAUGAAGCGAGGCGGGGUGAUGGGAGGGACCCAUUAGCUCAGGAGGUGAGGCGGGGUGAUGGGAGGGGCCCACGAGCUCAGGAGGUGAGGCUGGGUGAUGGGAGGGGCCCACUAGCUCAGGAGGUAGGGCAGGCCUGUCUGAGCAGGUGUUGCCACCUGGAAGGUGAGGAGGCCACCGAGUCCCAGGGUGAGUGUUUCCAUGGAGGGAAAGUCUCUGAGUCAGGAAAGUACUCGGCAUGUUGAGACAACAUACGGAAGGCCAGUAGGGCAGUAUCCUGUAGACCACGGGAGAAGGGGCAGGUGCCCGCAAAUGCAGACAGGGCCAGUUUUGUAGGGCCUGGUAGGACACGGGCAGGGAUUUGAAGUCUGGAGAAUUUUUAGGGGAAGAGCGCUAUGAUGCAGUAUCUGUCUAUUUUAGAAAGAUCACUAGGGCUCAUGUGGAGGACGGACCCGGCCAGAGGGGGCCAAGAAUGGAGAUGGGAAGAUAGGGACCGUGGUCUGAGGAACAGAGAGAGCCGUGGUGGUUUAGAUGUGGUGGAGGUGGUGAAGUAGUUAGCUGUGGUACUUCAUGCAAUGCAUUUUGAAGGUGAAACGGAGAGGGGUAUUCAUAGAGAAAGCAGAGUUAAGGAUGACUCGUAGGUUUUGUCCUGAGCAACAGAGUAAAUAGUGGUUUCACUCAAUAAGAUGGAGAAGACAAGGAAAUCAGUGGGUUUGGAGUGGGAAGCAGUCCACUCAGUUAAGUCUGAGAUGCCUGCUCUUAUUCUCUCUUGGACUCCAAGAGAGUUUGGUGAGACUUAUGCCUCAGUUUCCUCAUUUUGAAAUACAGUAGCACUGACUACAUUAUAGGGUUGGCGUGAAGAGUAAAUGAGUUAAUAUGUAUGCAGUGGUUAGGAGAGUUCCUGGCACACAGUCAGCAGCAAGAUAGACGUGUUUAGUAUUAAUAUUAAGGCAAUUUUUUCUCUUUAAUUGCAAAUAAUGAGGGGAGGAGAAGGGGCAAAUAAUUGAAAAUUUGUGAGAGAAAGGGAAGAAGCAAGGUGAAGAGCUUGUGGAAACACGGGAUGGUUCCCGGAGUCCCGGUAGAAGGCUGACCUCAGAUAGAACAGGGGCACGUGUGCAGCUGAAGCUGGGACCCCCGCCCACGUGGCACAGAUGCAUCCGGACGCAGGGGCGGCGGUGGGAGGUGACGGCUCUCCUCUGGCCACACCGUUUUCUCCACGAAGCAUGGGGCAGGGGCCUCAUCUGGUGUGAAGGGCAGGGAAGGGAGACUCAGAGUGAGGGUCAGGAGUAUGAGAUGGUUUCUGCAGAGGCGGAGGAUGGGCUCACUAGGAGGGCAUAGCCUGGCAGGUGGGAGAAGCACGAGCAUCUCAAACAGCCUCACGCAGCACAAGGCUGGUGUGCUGCCCGUUCCAGGUAUUUAUUCUCAGCUGAGCAGGUGUUUGGUGAGUAGCUGCUGUGUGUCUGGUGCUGGGCUGCAUGCUCGUAAAGGGGGUAAAGAGGGGGACAAGGUUUGUGCAGUCUGGAUGAAGAGAAAGGUUUUAGGUGAAAAGAAAUAACUGGAGGACAAAUGUAGUUCAAUCUGGAGCCAAAAGACCAAACCACAGAAAACCGUGCUGCCAAAUUCAGGGUAAUGGAAUGUGUGUGUGCCGGGCCCGUAAGGAUGGCCUCCCAGGGGAAGUGGAUACGAGCUCGGAACUCACUCAGCCACCCCCAAACCGGAGGCCGCUGCUGCCUGUCAUCCCUGGACCUCUGAACCGUCUGUCAUAAAUAUUCCGCAAGACGGCUCUAAUAAGGUACAGCUGACUCACCUGCUUUGUCUGAGGGCCCAUCUGACGUCAUCAGUAGAAACAGUAGCAGAAGCCUACAGCGGGCUUCUGCUAGGUUUCCUUUGGGGGUGUGGUUGGGUGGGGAGUGUGCCUUCUGAAACAAGAAAACGUCUCCUUCCGUCUUAACUGGCUCUCCUCUCCCUGACACCAUCAUUUGCAGUGCAUGUGGUGGAGAGCAAACUGGGAAAGAUUCUGGCAGGAAGAUAACCAGAAAGGUCACGCUUGAAGUGCAGCCACAUCCUUCUCCCCUGGCGUUGGGACCCAAUUCUUCCUGUUGCUGCACCAUGGAACAGUCUGUUUUGUUAUCAAGAAUUGUCAACCUCGUCCAGCUCUGAGGCCAGACUUCCUCUGAGGCCCUGGGACCUCCCCCAGCAAAGGGUCCCCACGAGCCUCUACUGCCUCCUGUAAACGGGCUUAGGAGGGGCGGGAGAAACUCACGGCUAAACCCCAAGAUGUGCCCCUCAGUGUGUUCCAGGCAGGAGGAGCCAAGACUUGAUCUGCGCUGGCAAAGUUAUUUUUUAAACUGGAAUUGCUGGUAAGGCUGCUUCCCUAAAAGGCAACUCAAAUCCUGUCUCCUGCUCUCCCUUUCCUGGAGCUGUGGCUCUCUGCCAUCAUGCUGCUGCCGAGGCUUCUCCAGACUCUCUAAGGGACGGGGCUCUUCUGGUCCACUCUCCCCGUCUCCAUCCCUUAUCGCCCCACUCAGCCACCCGCAGCCCGUCCAGGAUAAAACCGAAUGUUUGGGAAGUUCUCCCAGUAAUGCCCUAUAAAGUGAAAUACACCUAAAUUGCACACGGUGCAGCCCACCGUCCACACCUCCAGACCCUGGGGCGGCACAGGGCCUCCUAGCGUCACUUCCCGAAAGGCUUAGGCCCAGCCCAGGCCACUUCAGAACCUGCACCUCUGUGGUCUGACCUCAUCUUGGGCUGUUGCUGUCUAUCAGAUCUCUUGGAAGUCAGAUGACGCUGGUUAUCCUGCCUGCGUCCUCCUGAUGUUUAUGACUCGCUCAGAGUAGAGAAGGUGUCACAGCCUAUGAGGAAGAUAGGUUCAUAGGGGACCCGGAUCUCAUUUGCCCUGAUUUGUGAACUGGAAGGAGAGAGGCCCGUGAGGCUUCUGUGGGUCUGCACGCGGGGCCUCACCUGUGAAGCUGCACCUGGCCACCUUCCUCACUCUACAUGCUGCCUUCCUUGCCAUCUCUGCCGGCGCCCUCAAGGUGACGUCUUAGGCCAAGGGGUGGUAGCAAGAAACAAGAGUGGAUUAAAAAACCCCAUGAAAAUGAAGCGAUGAAACACCUGGAAUACGAGAGAGGACAAGCAGGGGAUCCAUGCAAGGCGAUGUAAUAAGAUGGACCAGGUUGGAGAGUUGAGAAGGGAGACGGUUGAAAAAAAACAAAAGCAGGGCUUCCCUGGUGGCGCAGCGGUUGGGCGUCCGCCUGCCGAUGCAGGGGACGCGGGUUCGUGCCCCGGUUCAGGAGGAUGCCGUGGAGCGGCUGGGCCCGUGAGCCAUGGCCGCUGGGCCUGCACGUCCGGAGCCUGUGCUCCGCAACGGGAGAGGCCACAGCAGUGAGAGGCCCGCGUACCGAAACAACAACAACAACAAGAAAAAAAGCAGAAUCUUUCAUGACACAGGAAAUUAUGUGAAAUUCAAUUUCACUGUCCAUAAAUAAAGCUUUAUUGGAACACA